rnacentral:rRNA from 1 species
GACGAACGCUGGCGGCGUGCUUAACACAUGCAAGUCGAACGGAAAGGCCCUGCUUUUGUGGGGUGCUCGAGUGGCGAACGGGUGAGUAACACGUGAGUAACCUGCCCUUGACUUUGGGAUAACUUCAGGAAACUGGGGCUAAUACCGGAUAGGAGCUCCUGCUGCAUGGUGGGGGUUGGAAAGUUUCGGCGGUUGGGGAUGGACUCGCGGCUUAUCGGCUUGUUGGUGGGGUAGUGGCUUACCACGGCUGUGACGGGUAGCCGGCCUGAGAGGGGGACCGGCGACAUUGGGACUGAGAUACGGACCAGACUCCUACGGGAGGCAGCAGUGGGGAAUAUUGCACAAUGGGCGGAAGCCUGAUGCAGCAACGCCGCGUGCGGGAUGACGUCCUUCGGGUUGUAAACCGCUUUCGCCUGUGACGAAGCGUGAGUGACGGUAAUGGGUAAAGAAGCACCGGCUAACUACGUG